rnacentral:rRNA from 1 species
GAUUGAACGCUGGCGGCAUGCUUUACACAUGCAAGUCGAACGGCAGCACAGGGAGCUUGCUCCCGGGUGGCGAGUGGCGCACGGGUGAGUAAUACAUCGGAACGUGUCCUGUUGUGGGGGAUAACUGCUCGAAAGGGUGGCUAAUACCGCAUGAGACCUGAGGGUGAAAGCGGGGGAUCGCAAGACCUCGCGCAAUUGGAGCGGCCGAUGCCCGAUUAGCUAGUUGGUGAGGUAAAGGCUCACCAAGGCGACGAUCGGUAGCUGGUCUGAGAGGACGACCAGCCACACUGGGACUGAGACACGGCCCAGACUCCUACGGGAGGCAGCAGUGGGGAAUUUUGGACAAUGGGGGCAACCCUGAUCCAGCCAUGCCGCGUGCAGGAUGAAGGCCUUCGGGUUGUAAACUGCUUUUGUCAGGGACGAAAAGGACCGUGUUAAUACCAUGGUCUGCUGACGGUACCUGAAGAAUAAGCACCGGCUAACUACGUG